AGUGAAAUUGCAGGUUCAUAUAAUGACUGUGUGUUUAUCUUUUGAGGGACUGCCAAACUGUUUUCCAAAGUGGCUGCACCAUUUUAAAUUGAUACUAGCAAU
rnacentral:pre_miRNA from 1 species